AGGACGAACGCUGGCGGCGUGCUUAACACAUGCAAGUCGAACGGAAAGGCCCGCUUGCGGGUACUCGAGUGGCGAACGGGUGAGUAACACGUGGGCAACCUGCCCUCAGCUCUGGGAUAACUCCGGGAAACCGGUGCUAAUACUGGAUAUCGACUUCUGCCUCGCAUGGGGUGUUGUUGAAAGUUUUUCGGCUGGGGAUGGGCCCGCGGCCUAUCAGCUUGUUGGUGGGGUGAUGGCCUACCAAGGCGACGACGGGUAGCCGGCCUGAGAGGGCGACCGGCCACACUGGGACUGAGACACGGCCCAGACUCCUACGGGAGGCAGCAGUGGGGAAUAUUGCGCAAUGGGCGGAAGCCUGACGCAGCGACGCCGCGUGAGGGAUGACGGCCUUCGGGUUGUAAACCUCUUUCAGCUCUGACGAAGCGAGAGUGACGGUAGGAGCAGAAGAAGCACCGGCCAACUACGCGCCAGCAGCCGC
rnacentral:rRNA from 1 species